UUACGGGUUGCUCCAGUGAGGAAUAUUGCACAAUGGGGGGAACCCUGAUGCAGCAACGCCGCGUGGAGGAUGACGCAUUUCGGUGUGUAAACUCCUUUUAUAUGUCAAGAAAAUGACGGUAGCAUAUGAAUAAGCACCGGCUAACUCCGUGCCAGCAGCCGCGGUAAUACGGAGGGUGCAAGCGUUACUCGGAAUCACUGGGCGUAAAGGACGCGUAGGCGGGUUGGAAAGUCAGGUGUGAAAUCCUACAGCUUAACUGUAGGACUGCACUUGAAACUUCUAAUCUAGAGUAUGGGAGGGGGAGAUGGAAUUAGUGGUGUAGGGGUAAAAUCCGUAGAUAUCACUAGGAAUACCUAAAGCGAAGGCGAUCUCCUGGAACAUUACUGACGCUAAGGCGUGAAAGCGUGGGGAGCAAACAGGAUUAGAUACCCCAGUAGUC
rnacentral:rRNA from 1 species